GCUGCUAAGCGCUGGUCCACGGAACCAGAGAUUCGGACUCGAUCCCCAGUGCAGUCUAAUCUUUCCUUUUUAUAUACUAUUUUCAGCUUCGCGUGUUCUCAGCGGCAGGGGGGAGAAAGGAGCGUGAAACGAAAACCCUAAACCCUAGCGAGCGAUUGCCAAUGGCGCCUGCGUCCUCCAUGGAGAAAAUCAAGGAGUUCUUGAACUCUCAGAUCUACGACGAUGAGAAGUGGGCUGUCAACUCGCUCUCCCAUCCCAUAAAAGAGGUUCAGGAAGCUCAGAUGCUGCAUUGGAUCAGUUUCAUGUGCCUCUUUGUUUUACUAUCUAGAAUAUACUUAAUGUUGUAUAACCUUCUUUCUCAAUAUUAAUUGAAUUUGUGACUAUGUUGAUGUUUACAGAAGCUAGUGUGUGCUGUUGGUCUAUUUGCUGGCUCAAUACUCUUUAUGCGCAACUUUGGUGAUCUUAUGGCCAUUUAAGAGCAUAGGAGGCAGCAUUGUCUCCUCAGUGUACCCUUCUUCUUUAGCAUGCUGCAAAUCGUGACACAACAUUUCUUCACUUGAGCCUUCCACCUCUUCCUUGGAUGUUCCUCUUGGUUUUGUAUUGAAUAAUUUUUGUAUGAUUUGGAGUUUCCGGUACAACUUCUGUUAUACAAGGUACAAGAGUUUGACGGUGAUAUGUUUGUUUAGAUCAUUGGCUAAUAUUUUCUGCCUUAACAGUAUGGACUGAAUAUGUCAUUACAUGCUAUAGAUCAUUUAUAAUUCACACGGCGGUUUAUUCGUGAUCAUUUGAA